rnacentral:rRNA from 1 species
GGCCAUACCACCCUGAACGCGCCUGAUCUCAUCUGAUCUUGGAGGCCAAGCAGGGUCGGGCCUGGUUAGUACUUGGAUGGGAGGUCCAAAAAUCAAACAACAAAGGACACUAGCCAGGAAAUGCGGUGUC